ACCUGCAUGCCUAGGUAACAUGCAUUACCUACAAGCCUAGGUAACAUGCAUUACCUGCAGGCCUAGGUAACAUGCAUUACCUGCAGGCCUAGGUAACAUGCAUUACCUACAGGCCUAGGUAACAUGCAUUACCUACAGGCCUAGGUAACAUGCAUUACCCGCAGGCCUAGGUAACAUGCAUUACCUACAGGCCUAGGUAACAUGCAUUACCCGCAGGCCUAGGUAACAUGCAUUACCUACAGGCCUAGGUAACAUGCAUUACCUGCAGGCCUAGGUAACAUGCAUUACCUACAGGCCUAGGUAACAUGCAUUACCUGCAGGCCUAGGUAACAUGCAUUACCUACAGGCCUAGGUAACAUGCAUUACCCGCAGGCCUAGGUAACAUGCAUUACCUGCAGGCCUAGGUAACAUGCAUUACCUGCCUAG